CCUACGGGAGGCAGCAGUGGGGAAUAUUGCACAAUGGGGGAAACCCUGAUGCAGCGACGCCGCGUGAGUGAAGAAGUUCUUCGGUUUGUAAAGCUCUAUCAGCAGGGAAGAAAAUGACGGUACCUAACUAAGAAGCCCCGGCUAACUACGUGCCAGCAGCCGCGGUAAUACGUAGGGGGCGAGCGUUAUCCGGAUUUACUGGGUGUAAAGGGAGCGUAGACGGGUUGAUAAGUCAGAAGUGAAAGCCUAGGGCUCAACCCUGGGACUGCUUUUGAAACUGCCGGGCUGGAGUGCAGGAGAGGUAAGCGGAAUUCCUAGUGUAGCGGUGAAAUGCGUAGAUAUUAGGAGGAACACCAGAGGCGAAGGCGGCUUACUGGACUGUAACUGACGUUGAGGCUCGAAAGCGUGGGGAGCAAACAGGAUUAGAUACCCUAGUAGUC
rnacentral:rRNA from 1 species